UCCAAUGGAAUCAGAUGGCUUU
rnacentral:piRNA from 1 species